rnacentral:rRNA from 1 species
CCCUUAGAUGUUCUGGGCCGCACGCGCGCUACACUGACGGAGGCAGCGAGCAUGUCCUUCGCCGAGAGGUGUGGGGAAUCUUGUGAGUCUCCGUCGUGCUGGGGAUAGAUGGUUGCAAUUGUCGAUCUUGAACGAGGAAUUCCUAGUAAGCGCGAGUCAUCAGCUCGCGCUGAUUACGUCCCUGCCCUUUGUACACACCGCCCGUCGCUACUACCGAUUGGAUGGUCCGGUGAAGCCUCGGGAUUGUGGUUCUUGCCGCUUUAUUGUGGCGUGACCGCGAGAACUUGUCUAAACCUUAUCAUCUAGAGGAAGGUGAAGUCGUAACA